UUUGACGCCAAGAUCUUCUUGCUUCUGCCUACGAAUAGACUCGUGCAUUUAUAUAGAAGUACCCCAGAGGAAUUAGGAGCUAGAAAAUCCGCUCUGCUUUUGCUUUCUUUUAGCUGCACGUGCAGCAUGUUUGUGAUAGAUCGGGGAAGACCGAGCAAACACUACAAUCUGAGCAAUGUCGAGGAGAUAUUUGUCAAGCUUGGGUUGAUCCAACGCAUUGUGGCACAUUCUCCCGCGUCAUACUCCCCUUGUUGGAAAAGACUCGACCUCGAGGUUUCGUUGAUCUUAUCUUGAUCUUAUCGAAUAGAGAGAUUAAUACGCUUCUACUACUUUCUUGCUUGCCACUUAAAUGCCUUCUUAUCUUUGCGAACUCUUUCUCUAAUUCUUCGUACAUAAAAUUCCACACAUCUCUUAGCCAA